GGAGACAGCGGGGGGCGCCCAGGAGGCGGCUCUGGCCCAGGUCGUCGCAGCAGCACAGGAGGCUGUAACACAGGGAUGGGAACCCGGGGGCAGACCUCGCCAACAUCCAGACCCAGACCUGGGCGGAGACACAAGCACUCUACCCUGAUACGCGGUGCCACCACAUUGACACGCACAUGCACGCCAUACAGACACACGUGGCCUGGAAUCGGACAUCGUGCCCUGUGCGCACACGCGCGCGCGGGACGGGGACACACGCUCUAGACGCGGAUGGGCGGAGGAGCCGAGCGACAAUUCUUAGUGACCGUGCCUAGAACAGGCACGAGUGACCAACCCCAGUGCUGCUCUGAGUGACCACACCAGUGGAUCAGAACCGUGCAUCAGAACAGGUCUAAAUGGCUGUGGCCAAGAACACAGCUAAAUACUCGCCCCACAAUAAUGCCAAAUCACUGUGCCCUUGUGUUCACCAAGUGGAUGCCCCCACAGAAUGACCACAGAGUGACCACCCCCACCCCCACAAACUGAACGUCCUCAUUCAGACUUAUUCAGGCUCUUCAGGGAAUCACCUGGUCAGGCUCCGUGGGCCUUAGCCCAAGCCAGGGAAUAUUUUGUCCCCACAUCAGACCCAUCCCUAGAAACUUUAGGCCAAUCCCUCUGCAUAGAUAAUAAUAACUACCAACUUUGUUUCAAGCCUUCUGCCUGUUGGUUCACUUAAUAUUCACCACAACCUAUGAGAUUUUACGAUUAUCCGCACAAUGUCUCACUUCCUUAAUUCUAAUAGUGGCUAACAUUGACUGAGCGCUUGUUUUGUGUCAGUAAUGUGCGUAUCACUUGGCACGCACUGCCUCCAUUAUCUUUGGAGAUAGGUACUUGUUAAAAUUCCUAAUUUACAGAUAGUAAAAUUAAGGCUUAAUGGACUCAAUAACUGACAGAUUAAACCCAGGUGGUCCAACUCCAGGUUCGAGCUCUUAAUGACAGUGGUUUGGAGUUCCCUAACUCCCUUCCACCAUUUUCACAGAAUUUCAUCCUGGGCUCCUCUCCCAGAUGUGAACCAAUCUGUCGCUAUCACUUCUAAAAUCUGACUUGGGACUGAAUGAGGAGUUCUAGGUCUAAGUUGAAACGUUCAACAAGACUCUCACUUCCCAUCUGUAAAUUCUAUUUCGAGUGAUGCCACCUUCAACUCCAUUAUCUUUUUCUUGCAGCUACAUCACACUGCUGGUAGCUCAAGCUUGUAGCCAAGUAACAUCUCUAAGUGUUUCUUACAAGUGCUGCUGAUUGAGGCAUAUCUACCCCGCACUGUGCUUGUACAGUGGGCUUUUUGGAACCCAACAUGUAGUUCCUUACACAUUUGACCUGAUUAAAUUUUCUCUUGUCUCAUCAGCUCACUGCUCCAGUUUUUUUAGAAUGUCUUCUUGAGUCAUGAAUCAUGAUAUAUCUCUGAUUUAUUCGAAAAGAAGUAGAAAGACUAAAUCCAACAGCUUUACUCUUGAUUCCAGGUGUACCUCGGGCAAGUGGAUUGACCUCCGUGAGCCUCAGGUUUCUCAGCUGUAAAAUGGGGAGUUAUGAUUAACUUUGAACACCUGGGGUUCUAAUGUUGUGGCAUUUGUGAUUCCAUUAUUCAAAGCAUGAACCACUAUUGGCAUUGUGUCAUCUCCAUGUUUGAUUACAACCUCAAAUUGUUAAUUCCUCAAAUUGUUAAUAAUAAUGUCAAAACAAAUAUGUUGAAAGGAGUUCUAAUACAUACUUUCAACAGUUUUUCACAUUAUGAACUUGCUAUUUCUGCACUUCACUGUUAAAAUUACAAGAUUAAAUGUGGAUUAAUCCACUCUGACAAGCACUUUUUUUCUUAGGAAAAAAUUGAAUAUGGUUAUUUCUCAGAAUUCUGUACUUGGCUCAAUUUAAAAAUUAUUUUUAUCUUUGAAUUCAUAUCUGAAGUUCCUGGGUAUUCAGAUAUAUCAGAGCCAAGAAGAUUUGUCUCUUCAAAUUUCCAACCAGAGUAAUGACCAUGAUUUGGAUAGAAUUUUUCAGGAGUGAGACAGUGGACAUGCCUGCUCAUCUUUGCGCCACUCCCCACCCCAUCUUUUCAGAAGUGAUUCUCCUUUGAGGGGAUAGCGUAGGAUUAUAUUGGGAUGUGUGGUUUGUUAAAUAACACUCACUUACACAAGACGCAUGUUAAUUUUCCUAUCACAUGAAAGAAGAUGAAGGUGAUUCAGGGCUGGUGUGUGUUAGGGACAUUGUUAGGGAUUCAGGCUCUACCACGUGUUUCCUCGCCAUGUAGUACAAGAUAACUUAUUCAUCUCCAGCCAUCAUGCCCACAUUCUGGCUAUCAGAGAGGAAGAAAUGACAGAGAAGAACAUGCCAUACCCCUCUGAGGACAUUUCCUGAAAGUUGCCUGCAUCACUUCCACUUACAUCCAAUUGGUCAGAACCUUAUCACAUGGCUUUCUAGCUUCAAGAGAUCCUUUGAAAUGUCGUCUUGACUUUGCCUUGCUCUAUGCCUGGCUUACAUUUGGGUAUUUUGGUACCAAGAAAGAACAGAAAAAAAUUAAUGGAAGCAACUAGUAACCUCUACCAGCCUUGGAGAAUUUUCCCUCUUUCUUUUCCUAGGUGGCUGUGUGGCUGUUCAAAGGCAGGUGUAUGGCCAACCCCAGACAAUCAUAAUUUUCUAAUCAUACUUCAGUGUUUCAAAGCAACUCAGAUCUUUUCAGUGAGCAUCAAACACAGAACCUUCACUCAAACUGUUGGAAAAGAGCAACUCUCUUUCUCCUGAGAUGAUGAACUAGUAAAAAAUCAGCCUGAAGCUUAUAAUGGUCAUCUCUUCCAUCAAGAGGGGAAACUCUGGAGAAUGAAGCAAACACAGAGGAAAGGACUCAGAGAUGGAGAAUCAGAUGCCUGAUGGUGUCCUUUAAGCCUCUGAAUCUAGCCAUGCCAGAAACACAGUCCCUAGAUUUUUUUGCUCCAACUGAUUAUCUUUCUGUUAAUACUUAGAACUGGAAGAGUUGUGACUCAUAGAAAAAACAAUUGCCACCUCAGUUACAAGGAACAGGGACCAUUUAAUAAAAAAUGGUGGAGGUGGGGUGGGGGCUCAUUUUCAAGGCUAUGCACAGACUUAGACUAGAAUGCUCCAAAAUCUGAGACAGAGGAUCCAACUACUCUCUCCAUCUUCUCUACUCCUCCUUGUAUCUUACUUAUUUUCAUCUCCCUCUUUACUGUCUUUACCCCCUUUGCUUAUGAAUCAGUAAAUGGUUACUGAGUUGCAAGCAACAGAAACUGACUUUGGCUAAUAUCAGCAAAAAGUGGAAUUUGCCAGAGCUCACACAUUCCAGAAUAGCUUUGAGGCAACUCACAGAGUUAAGACCAGGGAACUGGGCUCCGAAACAGAAGAGCAUCCCCAGAACACAUUUCUCUUCCUUCCCUUUCUUUCUGAGUCUUGGUUUUCUCUUUUGACUCAAUAUCAUCUUGAGUCUUCCUUCCCACUCUUAUGCCCUGCAUUUCAGACCUUCAAUUUAAAAUUAUAAACCAAGGAAAUUUUCUUUCCUUUAAGUCUUUGGGCCCAAUCAAGCCAUAUUAUUCAGUUUUAUUUCAGUAUAAGUGUCCAAUUUUCUCCCUCGAGCUGAGUUUUGUAAAAUGUGAGAAAAUAUUCCAAAGAAGGUAGAUACUCUGAGGCUAAGGAUUGGGAGAUGGAAUUGUGUGGUAUGCAGGUUGUGUGAGGUGCAAAGUUCACAUCUGAGCCCAGAGGGUGUAAAUGAAUAGGAAAGAGGUUGAGAGUGAGAACGAGAGAAGAUUUUACACAUGCUCCACACUCCGGAUAAAACCAGAGGGCCAAAGUUCAAGGGACUAGAUAUUGCCAAUAGAGGGUUGAUUUUAAAUACUUUGCAAGAUUCCAACCUUUUUGUCAUUUCCAUGUUGGUUUACUUCUGUUUUGGGCAAUAAUAAUCAUAAUAACACCAGGCUGCCUGUAUUGAGAUUCACCCAGCACCAGGCACUGGGCUAAGCAUUUAGAUGCAUUACCUAAUUUAAACCUCUCAAUAAACCAGGAAGACAGGGAUUAUUACUGCCCCUAUUUUAUAAACAGGGAAAGAGCCUCAAGUAGGUUGAAUUUUCCAUGUUCUCACAGGUGCUGCAGGCUGCAGAAG